UACGGGGGGGGCAAGCGUUGUUCGGAAUUACUGGGCGUAAAGGGCUCGUAGGUGGCCAACUAAGUCAGACGUGAAAUCCCUCGGCUUAACCGGGGAACUGCGUCUGAUACUGGAUGGCUUGAGUUCGGGAGAGGGAUGCGGAAUUCCAGGUGUAGCGGUGAAAUGCGUAGAUAUCUGGAGGAAUACCGGUGGCGAAGGCGGCAUCCUGGACCAACACUGACACUGAAUCGCGAAAGCUAGGGGAGCAAACGGG
rnacentral:rRNA from 1 species